ensembl:snRNA U6 U6 spliceosomal RNA
AUGCUCGCUUUGGCAGCACAUAUACUAAAAGUGGAGCAAUACAGAGAUUAGCCAUGGCCCCUGCGAAAGAUGGAAGCCAAUGGAUAAAUACAUCCUUCUUUA